rnacentral:rRNA from 1 species
GACGAACGCUGGCGGCGUGCUUAACACAUGCAAGUCGAACGGAAAGGCCCUGCUUGCAGGGUGCUCGAGUGGCGAACGGGUGAGUAACACGUGGGUGAUCUGCCCCUUACUUUGGGAUAAGCCUGGGAAACUGGGUCUAAUACUGGAUAGGACCAUGCUGUAGGUGGUGUGGUGGAAAGAUUUUUUCGGUAAGGGAUGAGCUCGCGGCCUAUCAGCUUGUUGGUGGGGUAAUGGCCUACCAAGGCGUCGACGGGUAGCCGGCCUGAGAGGGUGGACGGCCACAUUGGGACUGAGAUACGGCCCAGACUCCUACGGGAGGCAGCAGUGGGGAAUAUUGCACAAUGGGCGCAAGCCUGAUGCAGCGACGCCGCGUGGGGGAUGACGGCCUUCGGGUUGUAAACUCCUUUCAGCCAUGACGAAGCCUCUUUUGGGGUGACGGUAGUGGUAGAAGAAGCACCGGCGAACUACGU